rnacentral:rRNA from 1 species
GAUGAACGCUGGCGGCGUGCCUAAUACAUGCAAGUCGAGCGAACAGAUGAGGAGCUUGCUCCUCUGACGUUAGCGGCGGACGGGUGAGUAACACGUGGAUAACCUACCUAUAAGACUGGGAUAACUUCGGGAAACCGGAGCUAAUACCGGAUAAUAUAUUGAACCGCAUGGUUCAAUAGUGAAAGACGGUUUUGCUGUCACUUAUAGAUGGAUCCGCGCCGCAUUAGCUAGUUGGUAAGGUAACGGCUUACCAAGGCAACGAUGCGUAGCCGACCUGAGAGGGUGGUCGACCACACUGGAACUGAGACACGGUCCAGACUCCUACGGGGAGAAGCAGUAGGGAAUCUUCCGCAAUGGGCGAGAGCCUGACGGAGCAACGCCGCGUGAGUGAUGAAGGUCUUCGGAUCGUAAAACUCUGUUAUUAGGGAAGAACAAAUGUGUAAGUAACUAUGCACGUCUUGACGGUACCUAAUCAGAAAGCCACGGCUAACUACGUG